AUACCUUUCUCGGCCUUUUGGCUAAGAUCAAGUGUAGUAUCUGUUCUUAUCAGUUUAAUAUCUGAUAUGUGGGCCAUGUGCCCACAACGAUAUUAAAUUUAUUUUUUGUGGGGGUGGGCCCACCACAGUAGCU
rnacentral:snRNA from 1 species